rnacentral:rRNA from 1 species
UUUGGUUAAGUUAGAAAGGGCGCACGGUGGAUGCCUUGACACUAGGAGUCGAUGAAGGACGGGACUAACGCCGAUAUGCUUCGGGGAGCUGUAAGUAAGCUUUGAUCCGAAGAUUUCCGAAUGGGGAAACCCACCAUACGUAAUGGUAUGGUAUCCUUAUCUGAAUACAUAGGGUAAGGAAGACAGACCCAGGGAACUGAAACAUCUAAGUACCUGGAGGAAGAGAAAGCAAAUGCGAUUUCCUGAGUAGCGGCGAGCGAAACGGAACAUAGCCCAAACCAAGAGGCUUGCCUCUUGGGGUUGUAGGACAUUCUAUACGGAGUUACAAAGGAACGAGGUAGACGAAGCGACCUGGAAAGGUCCGUCGUAGAGGGUAACAACCCCGUAGUCGAAACUUCGUUCUCUCUUGAAUGUAUCCUGAGUACGGCGGAACACGUGAAAUUCCGUCGGAAUCUGGGAGGACCAUCUCCCAAGGCUAAAUACUCCCUAGUGAUCGAUAGUGAACCAGUACCGUGAGGGAAAGGUGAAAAGCACCCCGGAAGGGGAGUGAAAGAGAUCCUGAAACCGUGUGCCUACAAAUAGUCAGAGCCCGUUAACGGGUGAUGGCGUGCCUUUUGUAGAAUGAACCGGCGAGUUACGAUCCCGUGCGAGGUUAAGCUGAAGAGGCGGAGCCGCAGCGAAAGCGAGUCUGAAUAGGGCGUUUAGUACGUGGUCGUAGACCCGAAACCAGGUGAUCUACCCAUGUCCAGGGUGAAGUUCAGGUAACACUGAAUGGAGGCCCGAACCCACGCACGUUGAAAAGUGCGGGGAUGAGGUGUGGGUAGCGGAGAAAUUCCAAUCGAACCUGGAGAUAGCUGGUUCUCCCCGAAAUAGCUUUAGGGCUAGCCUUAAGUGUAAGAGUCUUGGAGGUAGAGCACUGAUUGGACUAGGGGUCCUCAUCGGAUUACCGAAUUCAGUCAAACUCCGAAUGCCAAUGACUUAUCCUUAGGAGUCAGACUGCGAGUGAUAAGAUCCGUAGUCAAAAGGGAAACAGCCCAGACCGCCAGCUAAGGUCCCAAAGUGUGUAUUAAGUGGAAAAGGAUGUGGAGUUGCUUAGACAACUAGGAUGUUGGCUUAGAAGCAGCCACCAUUUAAAGAGUGCGUAAUAGCUCACUAGUCGAGUGACUCUGCGCCGAAAAUGUACCGGGGCUAAAUACACCACCGAAGCUGCGGAUUGAUACCAAUGGUAUCAGUGGUAGGGGAGCGUUCUAAGGACAGUGAAGUCAGACCGGAAGGACUGGUGGAGUGCUUAGAAGUGAGAAUGCCGGUAUGAGUAGCGAAAGACGGGUGAGAAUCCCGUCCACCGAAUGCCUAAGGUUUCCUGAGGAAGGCUCGUCCGCUCAGGGUUAGUCAGGACCUAAGCCGAGGCCGACAGGCGUAGGCGAUGGACAACAGGUUGAUAUUCCUGUACCACCUCUUUAUCGUUUGAGCAAUGGAGGGACGCAGAAGGAUAGAAGAAGCGUGCGAUUGGUUGUGCACGUCCAAGCAGUUAGGCUGAUAAGUAGGCAAAUCCGCUUAUCGUAAAGGCUGAGCUGUGAUGGGGAAGCUCCUUAUGGAGCGAAGUCUUUGAUUCCCCGCUGCCAAGAAAAGCUUCUAGCGAGAUAAAAGGUGCCUGUACCGCAAACCGACACAGGUAGGCGAGGAGAGAAUCCUAAGGUGUGCGAGAGAACUCUGGUUAAGGAACUCGGCAAAAUGACCCCGUAACUUCGGGAGAAGGGGUGCUUUCUUAACGGAAAGCCGCAGUGAAUAGGCCCAAGCGACUGUUUAGCAAAAACACAGCUCUCUGCGAAGCCGUAAGGCGAAGUAUAGGGGGUGACACCUGCCCGGUGCUGGAAGGUUAAGGAGAGGGGUUAGCGUAAGCGAAGCUCUGAACUGAAGCCCCAGUAAACGGCGGCCGUAACUAUAACGGUCCUAAGGUAGCGAAAUUCCUUGUCGGGUAAGUUCCGACCCGCACGAAAGGUGUAACGAUUUGGGCACUGUCUCAACCAGAGACUCGGUGAAAUUAUAGUACCUGUGAAGAUGCAGGUUACCCGCGACAGGACGGAAAGACCCCGUGGAGCUUUACUGUAGCCUGAUAUUGAAUUUUGGUACAGUUUGUACAGGAUAGGCGGGAGCCUUUGAAACCGGAGCGCUAGCUUCGGUGGAGGCGCUGGUGGGAUACCGCCCUGACUGUAUUGAAAUUCUAACCUACGGGUCUUAUCGACCCGAGAGACAGUGUCAGGUGGGCAGUUUGACUGGGGCGGUCGCCUCCUAAAGUGUAACGGAGGCGCCCAAAGGUUCCCUCAGAAUGGUUGGAAAUCAUUCGUAGAGUGCAAAGGCAUAAGGGAGCUUGACUGCGAGACCUACAAGUCGAGCAGGGACGAAAGUCGGGCUUAGUGAUCCGGUGGUUCCGCAUGGAAGGGCCAUCGCUCAACGGAUAAAAGCUACCCCGGGGAUAACAGGCUUAUCUCCCCCAAGAGUCCACAUCGACGGGGAGGUUUGGCACCUCGAUGUCGGCUCAUCGCAUCCUGGGGCUGUAGUCGGUCCCAAGGGUUGGGCUGUUCGCCCAUUAAAGCGGUACGCGAGCUGGGUUCAGAACGUCGUGAGACAGUUCGGUCCCUAUCCGUCGUGGGCGUAGGAAAUUUGAGAGGAGCUGUCCUUAGUACGAGAGGACCGGGAUGGACGCACCGCUGGUGUACCAGUUGUUCUGCCAAGGGCAUAGCUGGGUAGCUAUGUGCGGAAGGGAUAAGUGCUGAAAGCAUCUAAGCAUGAAGCCCCCCUCAAGAUGAGAUUUCCCAUAGCGUAAGCUAGUAAGAUCCCUGAAAGAUGAUCAGGUUGAUAGGUUCGAGGUGGAAGCAUGGUGACAUGUGGAGCUGACGAAUACUAAUAGAUCGAGGACUUAACCAUAUAA